rnacentral:rRNA from 1 species
GACGAACGCUGGCGGCGUGCUUAACACAUGCAAGUCGAACGGAAAGGCCUGCUUUCCCUUGUGGAUUGCGGGUACUCGAGUGGCGAACGGGUGAGUAACACGUGAGUGAUCUGCCCCCAACUUGGGUAUAAGCCUGGGAAACUGGGUCUAAUUCCCGAUAGGACUGCAGGGUGGUGCCUGUGGUGGAAAACGAUUUUCUAGUGGUUGGGGAUGAGCUCGCGGCCUAUCAGCUUGUUGGUGGGGUAAUGGCCUACCAAGGCGGCGACGGGUAGCCGGACGGGGAGGGUGGACGGCCACAUUGGGACUGAGAUACGGCCCAGACGCCUACGGGAGGCAGCAGUGGGGAAUAUUGCCCAAUGGGCGGAAGCCUGAUGCAGCGACGCCGCGUGGGGGAUGACGGCCUUCGGGUUGUAAACUCCUUUCGACCGCGAGGAAGCCACCUGGUUGGAAGGGUGGUGACGGUAGUGGGAGAAGAAGCACCGGCUAACUACGUG